rnacentral:rRNA from 1 species
UACGAAGGGGGCUAGCGUUGUUCGGAAUCACUGGGCGUAAAGGGCGCGUAGGCGGCUUGAUAAGUCGGGGGUGAAAGCCUGUGGCUCAACCACAGAAAUUGCCUUCGAUACUGUCUGGCUUGAGACCGGAAGAGGUAAGUGGAACUGCGAGUGUAGAGGUGAAAUUCGUAGAUAUUCGCAAGAACACCAGUGGCGGAAGGCGGCUUACUGGUCCGGAUCUGACGCUGAGGCGCGAAAGCGUGGG